UACGUAGGGUGCAAGCGUUAAUCGGAAUUACUGGGCGUAAAGCGUGCGCAGGCGGCUUUGCAAGACAGAUGUGAAAUCCCCGGGCUUAACCUGGGAACUGCAUUUGUGACUGCAAGGCUGGAGUGCGGCAGAGGGGGAUGGAAUUCCGCGUGUAGCAGUGAAAUGCGUAGAUAUGCGGAGGAACACCGAUGGCGAAGGCAAUCCCCUGGGCCUGCGCUGACGCUCAUGCACGAAAGCGUGGGGAGCAAACAGG
rnacentral:rRNA from 1 species